rnacentral:sRNA from 1 species
AUGCUGUAUGAGUGAAAUCAUCUAUAUGUGCAGCUACAAAGCGGACAAGUCUGUGUGUGUGAGUGUGCCUAUAGGAAAUGAUUGCAUUUGGCACUAGUCCUUUACUGUACAGCUGAACACCUAGAAAGAUUUAUUGUAACUUCAUUAAAAAUAUCAUCCAUUAUAUUCAAUAUCCACUUAUACUAUUGGUUUUAACACAAAUUACCUAGUAGUAUUUUCGACAUGGUAUUUUUAGAUGACCUUUAGUAAAAUACAAAGGCAUAAUGUUGUUUUAUAAAUUAUUUUCCAAUUUUGAACAACUCGAUUUUUAAAAAAACUUCUUUACCUGUUUUUUUUUUUUAAAUGAUGUAAUAUAUUAGACUUGAAAAGUAAAAGUAUUGGAGAUCUGUGACUGAAAAAAAAAUAAUCUUUAUAGUGAUUUUAUUGUAUCAAGAGACUUUCUGUUUCAGAAAUUCCAUGAGUGAAACCGUCAGACUGGUCAGUGGAAUGCAGCACCCUGGCUCUGCUGGAGGCGUCUAUGAGACAACACAGCACUUCAUUGACAUCAAAGAGCACCUGCACAUAGUAAAGAGGGACAUAGAUAACUUAGUGCAGCGAAAUAUGCCAUCAAAUGAAAAGCCGAAAUGCCCAGAACUACCACCAUUUCCAUCAUGUUUGUCUACGGUCCACUUCAUUAUAUU